ACCUGAAACGGUCUGAGAAUAUGUGCGGACUAUAA
rnacentral:sRNA from 1 species